CGGAGGCAGGGGAGCCGCGGGUCACGUGGCCGCAGCGGAGAUGGGCGGGGCGUGGGACGUGCUGCCGUGUCCUCGCUGGCUUACAGGGCGGCGGAGAGGCGUGUGUCGUCUGUUAAGAGUGCUGCUCGCCCAGGGUUGAUCUGUGCAUGCCACUCCUGGGUCAGACGGUGAGGUCGGCGUCUGCGAGGACGCGGCGGUGGAGGAGAAGGGCAACCCGCCCCUUGGGAGGCUAAACGACCCCGGCUUCGCGGGGAUCAUGGUAUCGCUGGUGGACCGAAUGCGGGGCCACGGGCGAAUCGCCGCCGGGCUCCUGUUCAACCUACUGGUGUCCAUCUGCAUUGUGUUCCUCAACAAAUGGAUUUAUGUGCACCACGGCUUCCCCAACAUGAGCCUGACCCUGGUGCACUUCGUAGUCACCUGGCUGGGCUUGUAUAUCUGCCAGAAGCUGGACAUCUUUGCCCCCAAAAGUCUGCCGCCCUCCAGGAUCUUCCUCCUGGCCCUCAGCUUCUGUGGCUUUGUGGUCUUCACUAACCUUUCUCUGCAGAACAACACCAUAGGCACCUAUCAACUGGCCAAGGCCAUGACCACGCCGGUGAUCAUAGCCAUCCAGACCUUCUGCUACCAGAAAACCUUCUCCACCAGAAUCCAGCUCACGUUGAUUCCUAUAACUUUAGGUGUAAUCCUAAAUUCUUAUUACGAUGUGAAGUUUAAUUUCCUUGGAAUGGUGUUUGCUGCUCUUGGUGUUUUAGUUACAUCCCUUUAUCAAGUGUGGGUAGGAGCCAAACAGCAUGAAUUACAAGUGAACUCAAUGCAGCUGCUGUACUACCAGGCUCCGAUGUCAUCUGCCAUGUUGCUGGUCGCUGUGCCCUUCUUUGAGCCGGUGUUUGGAGAAGGAGGAAUAUUUGGUCCCUGGUCAGUUUCUGCUUUGCUUAUGGUGCUGCUAUCUGGAGUAAUAGCUUUCAUGGUGAACUUAUCAAUUUAUUGGAUCAUUGGGAACACUUCACCUGUCACGUAUCCUUUUCAUAUAACUUACAAAUGCAUCGUCUUUUAUAUUCUCCAAAACUUUCACAUUCAUUACCUUAUUUGAAUCUCACACUAUUGCACGGCCUAAAUUGAGUAGAGAGAGUUAUUUUUAGCCUUUUACUGUAUCUUUACACACAAUAGGAUUUUAAAGAAAUAUGAACUGAAGGGGCGAGUGUGGUGGCUCACACCUGUAAUCCCAACACUUCAGGAGGCCAAGGCGGGUGGAUUGCUUAAGGCCAGGAGUUCAAGACAAGCCUGGAUAACAUGGUGAAACCCUGUCUCUACAAAAAAUAUAUAAAUUAGCUGGGUAAGGUGGUGCACGCCUGUAAUCCCAGCUACUCAGGAGGGUGAGGCACAGGGAGUCGCAGGUUAAAGACAGCCAAGAUUGUGCCACUGUACUCCAGCCUAGGCAACAGAGCAAGACUCUGUCUCAAAAAAAAAAAAAAAAAAAAGAAAUAUGAACUGAGGAAAUAGGUUAGCUUUUUGUGUCAUGAAUGUUUUUGAAUUUUCUUAUGUAAUAGAUGACCUUUUUCCCUCAUAAAAAUUAACUCAGAGUACCAUUUCUUACAGACAGUGAAAUUAAAUAAAUAUUUUUUGAAUGAAUAAUGAGGUGGAGGUUUGGAUUUUCAAACCAUGCUCAGGUAUUUAUAGUAACAAAGUAAAGGAAUGGUUAACAAAUAAGAAAAGAUAAUUUCAGGCCACUGGCAUCUGGCUAUGGAGUAUGUGUUUGUACUUAUUUAGAUAUGGGUGUGCCUGUUUUUCUCAAUAUUAUUUCAAGUCAAGUAAUGAAGUCAUUGGCUGGGCACCAUGGCUCACGCCUGUAAUUCCAACACUGGGAGGCCGAGGCAGGAGGAUCACUUGAGCCCAAGAGUGCAAGACCAGCCUGGGCAACAUAGGGAGACCCUAUCUCUACCAAAACAAAAAAAAGAAAUGAAGUUAUAUGUUACAGUAACCUUGGGAAGAUCCUCUGUGUCUCAGGAAGUCACCUCCAUGGGAUCAAGCCACCACAUGCACCUGGGGACACGGCCCAUGCUCUCCCGAGGCACUGCUGCUGCCCAGCAGGAACCUCCAGGCUGCUUAGGUGGGCUUGGGGGUCAGACAGGUCCAGGUGUGAACACCAAGCUCUGCCACUACCUGUGGGCCUGACUUGUGUGGGAACUCUCAGGGUCUCACUGAUCACUUAUGAAAUGUAUGAGGUGGAGGAAGUGCGAUCUAUGAUGUUGGGUGGUUGUAUUUGAGAGAAUGUGUCAAGCUCCAAGCAGGUGUUCAUGACACAUAGGUACUGCUAUUGGUAACUAUUAUUAUAGCUAGCACAUAUGGUGCUUACUAUAUGCUAGAAGCUUUGUGUAUAUUAUUUAAUCCUUACAAUAACCCUGGGAGGUAUUAUUUUGUUCCCCUUUUAUAUAGUGAGGAAACUGAGGCACAGAGUGGUAGCUAUUUCUAGUGUUGUAAUUAGGAAAAGCACAUAGGCAUACAUCAUACAUCUCAAGAACAAGAAAGUACUCGUUUAUAUAGAAAAAAUAAUUAUAUUUAAAUAUAAUUGUGUGUGUGUGUGUGUGUGUGUGACGGAGUUUCACUCCGUUGCCCAGGCUGGAGUGCAGUGGUGUG